rnacentral:rRNA from 1 species
CCUACGGGUGGCAGCAGUGAGGAAUAUUGGUCAAUGGACGAGAGUCUGAACCAGCCAAGUAGCGUGAAGGAUGACUGCCCUAUGGGUUGUAAACUUCUUUUAUAUGGGAAUAAAAUGAUCCACGUGUGGCUUUUUGUAUGUACUUUAUGAAUAAGGAUCGGCUAACUCCGUGCCAGCAGCCGCGGUAAUACGGAGGAUCCGAGCGUUAUCCGGAUUUAUUGGGUUUAAAGGGAGCGUAGGUGGGUUGUUAAGUCAGUUGUGAAAGUUUGCGGCUCAACCGUAAAAUUGCAAUUGAUACUGGCAGUCUUGAGUACAGUAGAGGUAGGCGGAAUUCGUGGUGUAGCGGUGAAAUGCUUAGAUAUCACGAAGAACCCCGAUUGCGAAGGCAGCUUACUAAACUGUGACUGACAUUGAUGCUCGAAAGUGUGGGUAUCAAACAGGAUUAGAUACCCCUGUAGUC